rnacentral:rRNA from 2 species
UACGUAGGGUGCGAGCGUUGUCCGGAAUUAUUGGGCGUAAAGAGCUCGUAGGCGGUGUGUCACGUCGGCCGUGAAAACCUGGGGCUCAACUCUGGGCGUGCGGUCGAUACGGGCAUCACUAGAGUUCGGCAGGGGAGACUGGAAUUCCUGGUGUAGCGGUGAAAUGCGCAGAUAUCAGGAGGAACACCGGUGGCGAAGGCGGGUCUCUGGGCCGAUACUGACGCUGAGGAGCGAAAGCAUGGGUAGCGAACAGG